rnacentral:lncRNA from 1 species
CCAAGUGAUUACGGCUGCUGACGUGGCUGACUUUUGACUAAAUCAAAAUAUCGGCUGUCAUUUAAAAAAAAAUGAAAAAGAAAUGCCCUUUUCUGUGAACCCUACACCUUUUCCCCGACAUUUGCAAUCGACCCCAAACCCACUCCAUAGAGAAAAGCAGAUCAAAAUGGAAGGAAAUGAGAGCACAAUCAACGAAGCCGGCAACAUCGACGCCGGCGACAAAACUGGUAACAUUUAUUGUUCUUAAUGUUCAUUUAAAAUUUUCAGUUUGUUCGUAUCUUCCGGUAAAUGAGUGCUUUUUGAGUUUCUUUCUAAGUAUGAACCCCAAAAACUACCUAUUGUUGGAAGCUUAAACAAAUACCCAAGAUGCCAAAACGCACAAGCUGAAAUUUAACAAGCCCUAAAUCAGAGCAUAAAAACGGCGCCCGAAGGAAAAACUUACAUCCAUCCUUAAGAUUCUCCUCGGAGCUGUUUGGGUAUGUGGUCAAAUGAUUUCUGAGCUACUGGGGACUUAAAACCCGCAUCUCCGAAAUGCAGUUUUUCUGGGCUUAGCAGUGAAUAUGAGCUUCGGACUAUGAAGCAACGAAGAAAAAUUAUAGCUACUCAAUUUCACUAGUCCCGGACGAGAGAGAUGAGAGUAACAAAGCAGAAGUCCCCAUGGGAGAUUAUUACAGAGCUUUUACAGAGAACCAGAUUAUACAACUACGGAGAUUAUUACAGAGCUUUUACAGAGAACCAGAUUAUACAACUACCUCAAAAUUGAACUAUAAGAUAGCAAUUUCCCGUCCAUUCAUGUAUAUAAUAGUAGCAAUAAUGUAUACUUGCACGUAGCAGACUUUGUUUGAAUGUUCUUGUGCCAAGCUGUGUCGUGGCAACUGACAAGUUUUAUGGUCUUUUCUUCUUCUAUGCAGGAUGUCUGGAUAUUCAUUCAUCCAAUGAUGACAAUCCGAAUGAUAAAAGCUUAGGGGAAGAAAGUGACAUUGUGCCCGUCGUUGGAAUGAAGUUUAAAGAUGAAAAUGAGAUUUUUGAAUUUUACAAAAAUUACGCUUAUCGAGUCGGUUUUCCCGUAAGAAAAAGAAAUUCGAAGAAGGGUGAUGACGGGGUUCUACGUUAUGUAACUUUUACGUGUAGUCGAGAAGGCCAUCGAAUCAGUGCUUCAAGUUCUUCUCUAAAGCCUCGACCAACCAUCCAAACUGGGUGUAAAGCGAGAUUGGCAGCAAGUUCAGAAAUUUGUGGAACGUGGCGUAUUAACAGUGUCCAUCUCGAGCACAACCACAAAAUAAGCCCAUCCAAAUCUAGACUAUAUCGAUGCAAUCGCCAAAUUAGUGCACGCACGAAAAGACGGCUUGAAAUAAAUGACACUGCUGGUAUUCAAUCACACAAAAGUAAGGCUGGUAGAUCUGAAAAGAAGGUAUGCGUUGAAAAGGAUAGUGGAAAUUUCAUUGACAAAGUGCGGCAGUUAAAACUUGGUGAAGGAGACACUAUUGCAUUACAAGCAUAUUUUUCGAAGAUGCAAACAAGUAGUCCUGGUUUCUAUUUUAGUAUAGACUUGGAUGAAGAGGCCCGAUUGAGGAACGUGUUUUGGGCAGAUAACAGGUGUAGACAAGCGUAUAAGGAAUUUGGUGAUGUAGUUACAUUUGACACCACAUACUUGACUAACAAUUACGAUAUACCUUUCACUUUUUUUGUUGGGGUGAAUCAUCACGGACAAUCAAUAUUGCUUGGAUGUGGUUUGGUUUCGAAUGAGGAUGCAAUGACUUUUGUAUGGCUAUUUAAGACAUUGCUUGAGUGUAUGCAUGAUCAAGCUCCAAAUGGAAUAAUUACAGAUCAAGAUCGGGCUAUGCAAAAUGCAAUUGAAAUCGUUUUUCCAAACACAAAGCAUAGAUGGUGCUUAUGGUAUAUUUUAAAGAAAUUACCAGAAAAAAUUGGCAACCACAAUCAUAAAGGUUCUAUUCUUUCUGCUGUACAUGGGUUGGUGUACGAUACACAAACUUGUGAGGAAUUUGAACAAGGUUGGAACAAAAUGCUUGAAGAUUAUAAAUUGCAAGAACAUGGUUGGUUGACUGGAUUAUACAAUGAGAGAAGUCGAUGGGUACCAUGCUUUUUGAAAACAUCAUUUUGGGCUGGUAUGUCAACUACUCAACGAAGUGAGAGCAUGAAUGCUUUUUUUGACGGUUAUGUUCAUUCAAAAACAUCCCUAAAGCAAUUUGUAGAGCAAUAUGAGCGCGCAUUGAGAAGUAAAGUUGAAAAGGAGUUUCAUGCUGAUUUCAAAUCAUUUUCACAAAUGGUCCCAUGUGUAACGAGGUACGAAAUGGAGAAGCAAUUCCAAUCAGUGUAUACAAUCUCGAAGUUCAAGGAGUUUCAAGAAGAAUUUACCGGAAAGGUUUAUUGUGAAGUGUUAUCUGCUCAAGAUUCAUACUUGCAUACCAUUUAUGAGGUACGUGAGGAUAUCAUCUUCAAUGGUGGUAUGAAGAAAAAAAUAUUUAAAGUGUUAUUUCGUAGGGAUGAAUGCGAAUUUGAGUGCAGUUGUCACUUAUUUGAGUUUAGAGGAAUUAUUUGCAAGCAUGCUAUAUCGGUUUUAAUUCGUAAUGAUGUGGCAUUACUUCCUGAGAAGUAUAUAUUGAAGAGAUGGAGGAGAGAUGUGAAUAGACCCUAUACGAGGGUUCCGAUCAAUUACGAUGGUUGGAUUAGUACUCCCGAGCAGGUUAGAUAUGACCAAUUGUGCCUUGCGUUUACCAAGUUAGCUGAUUUGGUAGCACAUGAUGAAGAACGAUGCCAGGGCAUUAUGGAUUGGAUCGAUCUCCAAACAAUAGACUUAUCUAAACGUCAAAAUCCAUGAAGUAGAGGUUUUUUAGGCUUCAAUCAUUGAUAAAUUUUCAGGUUUUUUUCUUGAAUCAUUCAAGAUAGAAAAGAUAUUCUAGGUGUUUGAAGUUCAAACCUCUGAUUAAUGUAAGAGCGCUUGGGUUCAAGUCAUUUUGAACUGACUCAAACAGGAGCGGUGAAGUUUUGAGUUAAAGUUUGUGGGGGGGGGGGGGGGAAGUAUUGUUUUCUUUCUUGGAUAUAAAGAAGGAAAGAAAGAUUCUGUAAUGCCAGAGUUUGAGCUGUGUUCAAAUAGGAGCGGAUCAUUGCUCGGGCAGGGAGGCAACAAGGAUGAUCGGGAUUGGACUCAGCUUCAUAUUUGUGCUCGGAAAGGUGAUCUGGAGGAGGUAAAAUUUUGGCACCUCCGUGAGGUAUUCUACAUCUGUCUUUGAACUUCAUGUGUAAUACAACUUGUUUAGGUUCAGUUAGUGAUCUCUCUCUCUCUCUCUCUCUCUCUUUAUUAUUAUUAUUUUUUUCAUGACAGUAAUCUCAUUGUUCAGUGUAUAACUUUCUAUCAAGUAUAAAUAGGACUGUGAGAAAUCUUCACUUUUUAUGAUAUUAACAGGGGAAGAAUUAGAUGUCGUUUUGAUGCAAACCAAGAAACAUUUUUACCAACUUCUGGCUGUGGAACAUUAACUUAGAGGCAGUUCACUGCUGGUUUCCUUGAUACGAUUGGAGGAUCAAUAAAGUUAAAGAGACAUUCAAUAAAAUGGUCUUUUAACCACGUUUGUUUUAUGAUACCCGGGUGUGAGGCUGUUAUAGAACACAAUAGCCCCAUGAUCAAUGUAUUAAGAUGGACAUGUGGCAAUCUUAGAAUAGAUAAAAUAACAAAUAAUGCUAACAAGUGAAGAUGGCAACUAGCUCCAAUUUAGGACAAAAUUGAGGGAAUGAUCCAAGUGUUUGAGGUGUGUUUUGCAUGGACCUAAAGAACUCCCAUUUAUUAGAUCAAUGUGAUUCAAAUAUAACAAGUCAGAAGGAGGGAUACUUAAAAAUUAACAUGGCCUAGGUUAGACUAGGGAGAGCCAGAUCAAGUUCAAUUCUGACAUGCAUUUGUCCUUGCUGAGCUAGCUACCCUAACAACCAUUGGUUUUCAAAAGGGGAUAGUAGCUGUAGUCUUGGGUUAAAGAGAUUAUUCAAUAGGUUUUCUUCAUCCUUGUGAAAAUUAAGAUCAAAAUUGAAUGGAUGGAUGGAUUGUAACCGUAGUCAUUCGAUUGUAUGAUGAAAAUUGUGCAUUGAAGCAAAUAGGAGUGUAUUUGGCAUUAUCGGACGAUUCAUCCAACUUUGAGUGAGCACAAUGUAGAUACUGAACCAAACAUGAUGGGAAUAUAAUUGAAACAUGUGAGCGUGUGUAUGUGACUAUGAAAUCUUUUGAUAUCUUUUUAAUUAAUUAUAAUUGGUCCGUAUAUGAUAAAUGCUAGGUAUAAGAAGCCAACUUGAAUCGGCGAAGUUUGAGGAUUUGAAAUUUUGUUCAAGAUCUUGGAAUUUGUAGCUUUCUGCCCUCUCUUAUGAGUGACAAACGCAUGUUAAUAUCGAUUAGGAAGCAUUUGUUGAUCCCUUUUUACUUGUUUCAAUUCUCUCUUAUAUAGCAUUUAGAUGGCAGUUGGUAAGGGUGUGUUUUUAAGUUCUUUUAUUGUUGGACAAACCCUUCAAGAAAAUUGGCAAGGGUGUGUUGGGAUCAAGAAAAUUGGAUUUUGUGAGAAAAAUAUUGUUUGUUCUAUAUUACUUACUUGCAUUGUGAAGCAGGAAAUCCUCGUCAUUUCUAAUAUUUACUCUUCCUGUUGUCAAAUUGAACCUACCUCCUGAUCUUAGCUAAAACGGAAGCCUUGUCUCCACUUACAUUUUUGGCUAUGCUUAAAAUGUUUACUUAUAAGGAAAUAAGUAAUUGUUAAUCUGAAUAUAUAUGUAUUUUUUAAUUCGUAAUAAAAAUAAAAAUAUUUCUUAUUUUGACAUAAUAUAAGAAUUUUACUAGUGCUCUCGAAGUUCUUACAGAUAUUGAGUUCCAAAAAAUCCAAGGCCUCAAUAACUGCGUUUGGGUUAUGGCCCAAUUUUUCUCAAGCCCGAUGAUGUAUUAACGAACAUAUCAUGAAAAUAGAUUCUCUUGAAAACUAUGAAGAAAUAAAUGUGUCACUCUUAAGCUGAUCUUCGAAACCCCCCCCCCCCCCCUUCUCUUUUAUAUAUGUUAAAUUAUACCUGAAAUUCCUUUGGGUUGCUAAAGGAAUACCGAGACAGCGAUUCUACGGGAUUACAAGAAGGUUUAAAGGCCAAUGGACAUUACUUUCUUUAGGUUCGAUAAUUUGUAUUGAAGUUAGAUUUCUUAUACCGUUGUUACCAUAUGCACUAGCCAAUGGAGCUUAUUUUCUUUAGGUCUUAGGAUCAGUUUGGUAUUACUAUCGUUUUUGCAUCUUGUAGAAGAGCUUUAUGGGGAAGCUAACUUUAAUUUUUGUUUGAAAAUUAAUUUCUAAAAUAUCUUCAAAUUUCGAAAAUGCUUUUCAAGAAAGUCAUGUUGAGCUUGUUUUCUUUAAAAGUUCUUAAGUACUUUUACAAAAUUAGUCAACGAAUUCAAAAGUAACUUUUGGUUUUUCCUAUGUCAUGCCAAACUGACUCUUAAUCAUGAUUCAUAUAUGGUUUGUUUCCUCGGCUGACAAGCGUUGAUGCUUUUUAGAGGAGAUGGUGGUGAAAGUGGUGCCAGAAGUUUUGCUCCCAACUUAUGAAUUUAGGAAAUUGAUGUUUGUACAGCCCCUCACAAGUGGGGGGUUCGCAAAUUUUUUAUUGCGCGUGGGCCCCUCGAGUUGUGAGAGGACUGUAAAUGGUGCUGUGUGCAUAGCAUCGCCCAUGAAUUUAAGACUAUACUUGAAGGGCGGGGUUGUGCACACAGCACGAUGUACAGUACCGUUUAUAGUCCUCUUACAGUUUGGGGGGUCACGCGCAAUAAAAAAUUUGCGGACCCCCCCACUUGUGAGGGGAUUGUAGCCUGAGCUGUAUAGCUCGAGCUGUACAAACAGCAAUUCCCAUACUUGAAACCUUACCUCUACACUACCAACACUGACAGUUGGAGCCUUGAGGGAUAAUUAAACCACCUUGAUUAGGUUUGUUUUUCAUAUAACUAAGUACCUCGACAGUGUAAUCAUUGUACAUAACAAUUACAUUGUAACAUGUUAAAUAUAUUCAAAUUUUAUUAGUCACGGGAAAGGUUGGUUAUUAAUCUUGAAUAUCAUUGGGUGUAAAUUUUCUAAUAUUGCAAGUCACCAUCAUCUGACAGUGACAUGCAACAGGGCAAUUUUUUUUUUUUUUUUUUAAAUGGUGUGGGG